AACGAACGCUGGCGGCAGGCUUAACACAUGCAAGUCGAACGCGUGUAGCAAUACACGAGUGGCGCACGGGUGAGUAACGCGUGGAUAUCUGCCUUUUGGUUCGGAAUAACCCCGGGAAACUGGGGCUAAUACCGGAUGGUUCCUUCGGGAUAAAGAUUUAUCGCCAAAAGAUGAGUCCGCGUCCGAUUAGCUAGUUGGUGAGGUAAUGGCUCACCAAGGCGACGAUCGGUAGCUGGUCUGAGAGGACGAUCAGCCACACUGGGACUGAGACACGGCCCAGACUCCUACGGGAGGCAGCAGUGGGGAAUAUUGGACAAUGGGGGCAACCCUGAUCCAGCCAUGCCGCGUGAGUGAUGAAGGCCUUCGGGUUGUAAAGCUCUUUUGGCGGGGACGAUGAUGACGGUACCCGCAGAAUAGGCCCCGGCUAACUUCGUGCCAGCAGCCGCCGUAAGAC
rnacentral:rRNA from 1 species